UGAUUUUUCUAUCGUUACUUUGCCUUCCCUGUCAUUCUUUUAAAUGUAAAAUCUGUAAUUAGCUUUGGAAUUUUUAACAUUUCUUGGAUUAAACUGAUGAAACUUCACUUUUUUACAAUCUGAUGAUUUUCUUCAUUGCUAUGAUCUUUUAGUAUUGGAGUCAGAUCAUAUUUUCUAUAACUUUGGAUGAUUGUGUACACAAUACGGUGUAUUGAAAUUCAAGUUUAGGCUCUCUUUGGCCGAUACCAUGGGC